rnacentral:rRNA from 1 species
CGGAGGGGCUAGCGUUGUUCGGAAUUACUGGGCGUAAAGACGCACGUAGGCGGACCGGAAGUCAGAGGUGAAAUCCCAGGGCUCAACCUUGGAACUGCCUUUGAAACUAUCGGUCUGGAGUUCGAGAGAGGUGAGUGGAAUUCCGAGUGUAGAGGUGAAAUUCGUAGAUAUUCGGAGGAACACCAAGUGGCGAAGGACGGCGUCACUGGCGUCGAUACUGACGCUGAGGUGCGAAAGCGUGGGGAGCAAACAGGAUU